rnacentral:rRNA from 1 species
GAUGAACGCUGGCGGCGUGCCUAAUACAUGCAAGUCGAGCGAACAGACGAGGAGCUUGCUCCUCUGACGUUAGCGGCGGACGGGUGAGUAACACGUGGAUAACCUACCUAUAAGACUGGGAUAACUUCGGGAAACCGGAGCUAAUACCGGAUAAUAUAUUGAACCGCAUGGUUCAAUAGUGAAAGACGGUUUUGCUGUCACUUAUAGAUGGAUCCGCGCCGCAUUAGCUAGUUGGUAAGGUAACGGCUUACCAAGGCAACGAUGCGUAGCCGACCUGAGAGGGUGAUCGGCCACACUGGAACUGAGACACGGUCCAGACUCCUACGGGAGGCAGCAGUAGGGAAUCUUCCGCAAUGGGCGAAAGCCUGACGGAGCAACGCCGCGUGAGUGAUGAAGGUCUUCGGAUCGUAAAACUCUGUUAUUAGCGAAGAACAAAUGUGUAAGUAACUAUGCACGUCUUGACGGUACCUAAUCAGAAAGCCACGGCUAACUACGUG